UACGUAGGUGACAAGCGUUGUCCGGAUUUACUGGGCGUAAAGAGCGCGCAGGCGGUCGAUCAAGUCGAGUGUGAAAGCCCCCGGCUCAACUGGGGAGGGUCAUUCGAUACUGAUCGACUCGAAGGCAGGAGAGGGUAGUGGAAUUCCCGGUGUAGUGGUGAAAUGCGUAGAUAUCGGGAGGAACACCAGUGGCGAAGGCGACUACCUGGCCUGUUCUUGACGCUGAGGCGCGAAAGCUAGGGGAGCAAACGGGGAUUAAGAA
rnacentral:rRNA from 1 species